AAUGUAUUAUUGGAUUAAGUACUCCCUGCCGAUCGGUGCUGGAUACCUUGCCCAUUCAGUUGGACAAGCGAUUAAGAUUUGUUUAACAUACUAUUGAAUGUUUUAUGAACAUUGUUUUUGUGGUGUCGGUAACAGCAGUACGGAAUAUAUUCGUAACAAAUGCAGAGGAUGCUGAAAUAAUACAAGAAGAUGACAUACUGAUUCCUAGAGUGAAUUCAACAUGACGCCUGCUUCUCUGCUCACAGCUAUUUCUUACAAAGUGUAAACUUGAAGCUACAUAUUUUUCUGAGUAUUGAGGAUUUUCAUAUAUUCAGCUUUGUUAUAACGUGAAAUUGUCAUUAUGACAUCAUCACUUCCAGUUCCUGAAACCAGCAUUCAGAGUACACAAACUGCAUUAACAUAUGGGUAUAUUGCAGCAACUUGUCAGGGUUCCUCACAGAUUCUUCCUCAGGCACUGGUUCACAAAGAUGGACACUCCACACUAAAGGAAGAGCAUGGUGAAAUUGCCACAGAGAGGAAUUCUCCCAAAAAGGAUAAUCUUAUCAAGAAACCAUACCAGUGUACUAUAUGUAGCAAAGGUUUCACAACAAAAUCAUAUUUCACACAACAUGUUGCUGUGCAUAGGGAAGGGAAAACACAUUGCCCUGUAUGCAAUAAGUCUUUUAAUGUCAAGUGGUAUGUAAGGGACCAUAUGAGAUUACAUACUGGAGAGAAACCCUAUGAGUGUUCACUGUGUGGGAAAAGUUUCAGUUUUAAAUCUCAUCUUGAUUGGCACAAGUCAAAGCACACAGAUUAAUAUUUUGUCAUUAUUUGUGGUUGAAAAGUAAUUGUUUUAUCAUUUUGCAAAAAUGUUAUGUAAUGAAUUGCAAGAAGUGAAGAAAAUGUAAUUUUGUUUGGGAUUUUGGUAUAUUUAUCAGUUGUCUCGACAUGAACAUUGGUGCUCGUAUUUAUAGAAGGCAUUGAUUGCCAGUAAUUUCUUGGAAUUUCAUUCCUUUGGGUUAUAAUAUCAGGUAAGAAUGUAGAUUGUAUGUGCUAACCCUUUUUGUGUCAGUCAGUUUAACUAGGUUUGGUAAAUAUUUAAAUUAUGUAAAGGUAUUCAAGAUGUGAAAAUUUUGUUUUAUCUAGACGCUGUCUAAUAUGUAAGGCUGAUACUUUUAUUGAAAUGAAAAUUCAUCCUAGAGGCUUUAUAGCAUUGACACUAUAAGGGUUAAAACACAAGUUAUGCAAAUUGUAAUAGAAUAAAGCCAUUAGUGCUUCAGACAGUUGUAAUUCUUUGUCUCCAUGAGAUAAAUUGUUAUUUACCUUAACAGUUCUAUAAAUAGAGUUAAUUUAAGUGAAGAGGGUAAGAAUGAGCCUUUCUUUCAUGAUUUUUUUAAGUUUGAUGUAUAAACAUUCAGUGUGUAAAGUAUGUAAUGCUGCCUAUUUCUUAAACUACUAAGUAUAAUGAAUUGAAAUAUAGCCAUUUCAAGAUUAUUUACUUCUUAAAAAAAGUACAUAACAUUUGUAAAGUAUGCUGUUUGAAAAAAUAAGUUUUCUUGAAAUGUAUCCCUGUCUACCACA